UACAGAGGGUGCGAGCGUUGUCCGGAAUCACUGGGCGUAAAGGGCGCGUAGGCGGCCUGCUAAGUAGAGGGUGAAAUCCUGCGGCUCAACCGCAGGGCUGCCUUCUAAACUGUCAGGCUGGAGCACGGUAGGGGCAGAUGGAAUUCCCGGUGUAGCGGUGGAAUGCGUAGAGAUCGGGAAGAACACCAGUGGCGAAGGCGGUCUGCUGGGCCGUUGCUGACGCUGAGGCGCGACAGCGUGGGGAGCAAACAGG
rnacentral:rRNA from 1 species